rnacentral:lncRNA from 1 species
GUCUGGAGCUUCACAUUCUCUGCCCCCCACCCACCGCGCCGGCGCUCCCUUGUCACGCCUCGGGAAGCGCGCACCUGCCAAGCAGGUCACUCUGUCGCCGGAGGGCAGUGGCAUGAUCAUAGGUCACUGUAACCUGGAACUCCUGGGUUCAGGCAAUCUUCCCACUUCAGCUUCCUGAGUAGCUAGAAUUACAGGAUGAAUAAUCUGAUAUCAUGUGAAAUGAGGAAAUAAGAAGCUUUCUGCUGACUUCAUUUUGACCCAGGGUCCAAAAGGUGAUGUAAUCCUGUGGCAAGAAGAUUCAAAACUGUGGACUAUCUUGCAAAAAAUACAAGAAGAUAUUGAAAGUUUUCAUGAGUGCCUACCACCUAAUCUCAAACACUAUCAUUCAUAUGUGCCUCAUUGAGCAAAUCUUUAAUGAGGAUCUAUAUGCCAGCAAUAUCUUUUGCUUGGGAGCAGAAACAGAAAGUACAUGAUGGACUUCAUUGAAGGAUGGAGAUUUGGAAGACAUGAAUGGAUGAAGAACCAAGUGCGUGAGGGCACCUAUCAGGAUUAUUGCUGAAAUCCUUAUGGAGUUAACUGGCUGAGAGGAAGACGGAGUCUCGCUCUGUUGCCCAGGCUGUAGUUCAGUGGUGCAAUCUCAGCUCACUGCAAGCUCUGCCUCCCGGGUUCAUGCCAUUCUUCUGCCUCAGCCUCCCGAGUAGCUGGGACUACAAGCGCCUGCUACCACGCCUGGCUAAUUUUUUGUAUUUUUUAGUAGAGACGGAGUUUCACCAUGUUAGCCAGGAUGGUCUCGAUCUCCUGACCUUGUGAUCCACCCAUCUCGGCCUCCCAAAGUGCUAGGAUUACAGGCAUGAGCCACCACGCCCAGCCAACUUAUAACUUUUAUAUCAUUAGACACAUGGAAUAUGGGCCUCCGUUUGUACUCUUGCCCUUGGCCCCACAAACGUUAGGGAGAGGCCUGGCUCCUGCAAUGUACUAUUUACCUGUUGUAAAGAAUAGCCCUUCAAAAGUAUUAUUCUAAGUCUGUUUGACAUAAUAGGUCCAAAUUGUAUUACAACAUGGUAAAAAAACAACAAUCCAUUAACAAUCCUCUUUGGAUUUCUAAAAAA